GACGAACCGUGCGAACGUUGUUCGGAAUCACUGGGCUUAAAGGGCGCGUAGGCGGGUCAUCAAGUCCGGGGUGAAAGCCCCCAGCUUAACUGGGGAAGUGCCUCGGAGACUGAUGAUCUCGAGGGAGGUAGGGGUCCGUGGAACUUCGGGUGGAGCGGUGAAAUGCGUUGAUAUCCGAAGGAACGCCGGUGGCGAAAGCGACGGACUGGAUCUCUUCUGACGCUGAGGCGCGAAAGCCAGGGGAGCAAACGGG
rnacentral:rRNA from 1 species